rnacentral:rRNA from 1 species
CAGCAGCCGCGGGAAUACGAAGGGGGCUAGCGUUGCUCGGAAUUACUGGGCGUAAAGGGAGCGUAGGCGGACAUUUAAGUCAGGGGUGAAAUCCCGGGGCUCAACCUCGGAAUUGCCUUUGAUACUGGGUGUCUUGAGUAUGAGAGAGGUAUGUGGAACUCCGAGUGUAGAGGUGAAAUUCGUAGAUAUUCGGAAGAACACCAGUGGCGAAGGCGACAUACUGGCUCAUUACUGACGCUGAGGCUCGAAAGCGUGGGGAGCAAACAGGAUUAGAUACCCGAGUAGUCCCUGUCUCUUAUAC